CGCACGGUGGAUGCCUUGGCACUAGAAGCCGAUGAAGGACGUUACUAACGACGAUAUGCUUUGGGGAGCUGUAAGUAAGCUUUGAUCCAGAGAUUUCCGAAUGGGGAAACCCAGCAUGAGUUAUGUCAUGUUAUCGAUAUGUGAAUACAUAGCAUAUCAGAAGGCACACCCGGAGAACUGAAACAUCUUAGUACCCGGAGGAAGAGAAAGAAAAUUCGAUUCCCUUAGUAGCGGCGAGCGAAACGGGAAGAGCCCAAACCAACAAGCUUGCUUGUUGGGGUUGUAGGACACUCUAUACGGAGUUACAAAGGACGACAUUAGACGAAUCAUCUGGAAAGAUGAAUCAAAGAAGGUAAUAAUCCUGUAGUCGAAAAUGUUGUCUCUCUUGAGUGGAUCCUGAGUACGACGGAGCACGUGAAAUUCCGUCGGAAUCUGGGAGGACCAUCUCCUAAGGCUAAAUACUCUCUAGUGACCGAUAGUGAACCAGUACCGUGAGGGAAAGGUGAAAAGCACCCCGGAAGGGGAGUGAAAUAGAACCUGAAACCGUGUGCUUACAAGUAGUCAGAGCCCGUUAAUGGGUGAUGGCGUGCCUUUUGUAGAAUGAACCGGCGAGUUACGAUUUGAUGCAAGGUUAAGCAGUAAAUGUGGAGCCGUAGCGAAAGCGAGUCUGAAUAGGGCGUUUAGUAUUUGGUCGUAGACCCGAAACCAGGUGAUCUACCCUUGGUCAGGUUGAAGUUCAGGUAACACUGAAUGGAGGACCGAACCGACUUACGUUGAAAAGUGAGCGGAUGAACUGAGGGUAGCGGAGAAAUUCCAAUCGAACCUGGAGAUAGCUGGUUCUCUCCGAAAUAGCUUUAGGGCUAGCCUCAAGUGAUGAUUAUUGGAGGUAGAGCACUGUUUGGACGAGGGGCCCCUCUCGGGUUACCGAAUUCAGACAAACUCCGAAUGCCAAUUAAUUUAACUUGGGAGUCAGAACAUGGGUGAUAAGGUCCGUGUUCGAAAGGGAAACAGCCCAGACCACCAGCUAAGGUCCCAAAAUAUAUGUUAAGUGGAAAAGGAUGUGGCGUUGCCCAGACAACUAGGAUGUUGGCUUAGAAGCAGCCAUCAUUUAAAGAGUGCGUAAUAGCUCACUAGUCGAGUGACACUGCGCCGAAAAUGUACCGGGGCUAAACAUAUUACCGAAGCUGUGGAUUGUCCUUUGGACAAUGGUAGGAGAGCGUUCUAAGGGCGUUGAAGCAUGAUCGUAAGGACAUGUGGAGCGCUUAGAAGUGAGAAUGCCGGUGUGAGUAGCGAAAGACGGGUGAGAAUCCCGUCCACCGAUUGACUAAGGUUUCCAGAGGAAGGCUCGUCCGCUCUGGGUUAGUCGGGUCCUAAGCUGAGGCCGACAGGCGUAGGCGAUGGAUAACAGGUUGAUAUUCCUGUACCACCUAUAAUCGUUUUAAUCGAUGGGGGGACGCAGUAGGAUAGGCGAAGCGUGCGAUUGGAUUGCACGUCUAAGCAGUAAGGCUGAGUAUUAGGCAAAUCCGGUACUCGUUAAGGCUGAGCUGUGAUGGGGAGAAGACAUUGUGUCUUCGAGUCGUUGAUUUCACACUGCCGAGAAAAGCCUCUAGAUAGAAAAUAGGUGCCCGUACCGCAAACCGACACAGGUAGUCAAGAUGAGAAUUCUAAGGUGAGCGAGCGAACUCUCGUUAAGGAACUCGGCAAAAUGACCCCGUAACUUCGGGAGAAGGGGUGCUCUUUAGGGUUAACGCCCAGAAGAGCCGCAGUGAAUAGGCCCAAGCGACUGUUUAUCAAAAACACAGGUCUCUGCUAAACCGUAAGGUGAUGUAUAGGGGCUGACGCCUGCCCGGUGCUGGAAGGUUAAGAGGAGUGGUUAGCUUCUGCGAAGCUACGAAUCGAAGCCCCAGUAAACGGCGGCCGUAACUAUAACGGUCCUAAGGUAGCGAAAUUCCUUGUCGGGUAAGUUCCGACCCGCACGAAAGGCGUAACGAUUUGGGCACUGUCUCAACGAGAGACUCGGUGAAAUCAUAGUACCUGUGAAGAUGCAGGUUACCCGCGACAGGACGGGAAGACCCCGUGGAGCUUUACUGUAGCCUGAUAUUGAAAUUCGGCACAGCUUGUACAGGAUAGGUAGGAGCCUUUGAAACGUGAGCGCUAGCUUACGUGGAGGCGCUGGUGGGAUACUACCCUAGCUGUGUUGGCUUUCUAACCCGCACCACUUAUCGUGGUGGGAGACAGUGUCAGGCGGGCAGUUUGACUGGGGCGGUCGCCUCCUAAAAGGUAACGGAGGCGCUCAAAGGUUCCCUCAGAAUGGUUGGAAAUCAUUCAUAGAGUGUAAAGGCAUAAGGGAGCUUGACUGCGAGACCUACAAGUCGAGCAGGGUCGAAAGACGGACUUAGUGAUCCGGUGGUUCCGCAUGGAAGGGCCAUCGCUCAACGGAUAAAAGCUACCCCGGGGAUAACAGGCUUAUCUCCCCCAAGAGUUCACAUCGACGGGGAGGUUUGGCACCUCGAUGUCGGCUCAUCGCAUCCUGGGGCUGUAGUCGGUCCCAAGGGUUGGGCUGUUCGCCCAUUAAAGCGGUACGCGAGCUGGGUUCAGAACGUCGUGAGACAGUUCGGUCCCUAUCCGUCGUGGGCGUAGGAAAUUUGAGAGGAGCUGUCCUUAGUACGAGAGGACCGGGAUGGACAUACCUCUGGUGUACCAGUUGUCGUGCCAACGGCAUAGCUGGGUAGCUAUGUGUGGACGGGAUAAGUGCUGAAAGCAUCUAAGCAUGAAGCCCCCCUCAAGAUGAGAUUUCCCAACUUCGGUUAUAAGAUCCCUCAAAGAUGAUGAGGUUAAUAGGUUCGAGGUGGAAGCAUGGUGACAUGUGGAGCUGACGAAUACUAAUCGAUCGAAGACUUAAUCAA
rnacentral:rRNA from 1 species